UUUUUCUGGCAGGUCCUGGACCCGUUUUUACGGGGGGGUAAUGCUCGUGUUGUAGGGGAGGUUCUGCCGGAUUUUCGAUAGAAUUCUCCCGAGUCGAGAUUCUUAGACAGUCAGUCCUAGGAGUCUAGACCUAGGAUUAAUGAUCGAUUGUUUCAGCGUUUUGAUAAAUUGUUUUCCGUGACUAGAUGGUCAGUUCGUUCGGCUCGCUCCUACCGAGGCACCGGAGCAGAGCUAGGAGGUCGCCAAACCUGUGAGUUAAAGUCAUUUAAUCUUUGCGCUAUUGCUAGUCUGAUUUUAAUAUGCUAUUUAGAAUUUGUGCUUAAUAUGAUUAUUAGUAUCGAAAAAUAAAUGAUUUCACUUAAUUAUUAAUAUUUGAAAUAAUACAAAUAUUAUUAUUAGUAUGUUAUAAUAAGAUAAACGUUAUUAUUUUUUCCCUCACAAAUUGCACGUUGUUUUACCUUAGAUCUUUAAUCUUUAUUUCGAUAUGUGUUGGUUGAGUUCAUCAGAUAAUGAUAUUUAUUAAAUGGAUGAUUGUGUCUUGGGAAACGUGGCUUGUAGAACAUGCCGCCUGAUGGGUUACAUCAGGACCGCGUGCGCACCGGUAAUGAUCAUGGACAUGUAAUAAGAUAUUUAUGGGUUUGCCCUGGUCGAGCAUGGCUCUCUGGGCUGAUUUGAGUAAAUUGCCGGAGGUAAGGUCCCUGGUCGAGCAUUGCUCUCUGGGCGCCGGCUUAUUUUGAAUUCAAGUGUUCAGACUGGAGGUAAGGUCCCUGGUCGAGCAUUGCUCUCUGGGCGCCAGUCUUAUUAGAUUAAGAGAGCCAAAAUGGCUGUUAGAAUUUGGGGUUAGGGUUCUACUGAGCCACUCAUCCCGUAAAAGUAAAAAUAUAUUUUUAUUUAUUCAUUUAUUUAUUUAUUACGGUAUGAUUAUAAUAUGGAUUUUAUUUACGUGCAUGGUUGGUAUAUUGAUUCGAAUGAUUAAUAUUUUCUGUGAAGAAAGUAAUAGGGUAUGAUUAUAAUGUGAUUUGUAUUUACGAGCAUGGUUUGAUAUACUGAUUUGAAUAAUCUAUAUUUUCUGAGAAGAAUGCAAUAGUCCCCAGAUUAUUUGAUUUUAACUCACUCUCGAGACUGACAGUCUCAUUUUUACUAUUUUUCAGAUUCGUGACUGUUAGUCCUCUCGCGACUCUUAUUCAGUAACCCGACUCCUUCAUCAUCGGGUGAUGUAUUUAAUUUGGUAUGUAAAUUGGUAGAUCUUAGAUUCUCCGCAGUAGUAAUAGUAAAUGUAUCAGUUGUAAUUUUUUCUGAGCUUCGGGUCUCGCCUAGUUUUCUUUUCUGGUAGACCGAAGUAAUUUUGUAAAGUGUAACUAUUAAGAUAAAUUGAGGUUUUAAUAAUAUUAAUUUGAGAUGAGAUUUAUUUAAAUCAGUGAGUGUCAGGCUUACUACGGGUUUCGGUGGCCUUAAGCCUACCCAUUCCCUAGUGCCGGUCACGGGCCCACGGGUGGGGUCGUGACAGCCUAGACUCCUAGAAUUAACUGUCUAAGAAUUUCGACUCGGGUAAAUUCUACCGAAAAUUCGGCAGAACCUCGCUAAACACGGAUGUCUACCCCCCGUGUAACGGGUCCAGAAACUGCCAGAAAACACUUCAGAUUCCAACAAUUUAUUUAACAAGAGUCGGGUCACCAAGACUUCAUUAUUUUUCCCGACUCCGCCACACAUUACAAAUUACGAUUAUUCGCAGACGGUCCGACAAUUUAUUAUUCGACAAACAAACCCCAUAUAAUUUUUCUAAUGCUAAACACAAUAAUUAAUCAUAUAAUUUUUCUCAACAAACUAUAAAAUCAUCGGGCUAGAGAAUUACCGAGGCGCUUGAUCACUCGGUCGACUCGCCUCCAGCCGCCGGAGUCCGAUCGAUGAUCCGAGCGCUCCUACGAACUCGAAACAACAUGCUGAUGAUUAUUCCAGCAUCCAAUCUUUCGAUCCGACCUUCGAUCAUUUGAAGAAAUCUACGGACGAUCUCGGCCGUCGAUUUUCAAACGGAGUCCAAUCACCGCCAAAACGGGUGUCAUUGGAAAGCUUGAGUUGAGGGAAGUCCGGAUAUAUCCUCUGAUUGGCCAUCCCUCUCCGGUACUCGCGGGAAAAUACCCAAAAUUACGAUUACCCCUACUCUCUCUCUGCACCACAAACUUCCAUUUGUGUCACUAUCACCGCCGAAAUGAAGCUCGGAUCGAGAGGAGUCGUUUGCCACCAAAAAUAGUGGCUACCGAUGCCAAAAACGCCACGCACAAUGGCAAGGGAAGCUAUGGCUGCCUUUCUCGCUCCCACGCUAGCUGUUGCCUCCAGCUGCAGCCACCGGUGCCAUCGAGCUCGCCAACGACAGCAGCACUCCUAGUCGCUGCCGCCGCACCACAAACAAGCCUCCAUUGCCACCGCUAUUGAUGACCGACGCCCUUUCCUCCUUCUUUUUCUCUUCCGCGGUCCCCUUCUCUUUUCUUUUCUUUCUUUUUCUUUCUUUCUUUUCCUUUCUCUUAUCGACAUUUGGUCCCUGAACUUUUCUUCUUUACCAUUUAGUCCCUCAACUUUUUAAUUACCAAUAAUUUCCCCAUUGCAAAAUUCAUGAUUAACCCUUCAAAUUUUCUUUAGCUUUUCAAUUUAGCCCCUAACUUUUUAAUUUGGGUCAAGUUACAAUUAUUGAAAAUAUAAAAUUACUUAUUUACCAUUGCUUUUAAAUGUAAAAUUAUUAAAAUGUCCUUACCGACAUAUUUAAUUAUAAAAAUAUCAACCAUAUAAAUUUUCAUUUAAAACCCCAAAUUAAAGCAAUUAUAUUUUUAUUCCUUAUUCCAAAAUUUAUUGUCAAUUUAAUCCUAACACUUAAUUAACUUAAUUAAUCAAUUUACUAACUAUUUUUUAAUUAAAAUUAACACCAUUAGCUAAUUAAAAUUUAUUAUUCUCUAAUAAAUUCUUUUAUAAAAAUAUUAUUUACUUUUUCUUUCAUAACUUUCAAAUAUAUAAUUUAAUUAAUAUACUCAUAUGGGGAGAAAAUUAAUGUCACGACCCCACCCGUGGGCCCGUGACCGGCACUAGGGAAUGGGUAGGCUUAAGGCCACCGAAACCCGUAGUAAGUCUGACACUCACUGAUUUAAACAAAUCUCAUCUCAAAUUAAUAUUAAUAAAGCCACAAAUUAUCUUAAAUGCUACAUUUUACAUAAUUUAAUCGGUCUGCCAGAAGAACUAGGCGAGACCUGAAACUCAGAAAAUUUACAACUGAUACAUCUACUAUUACUACUGCGGAGAAUCUAAGAUUUACCAAUUUACAUACCAAAUCAAAUACAUCACCCGAUGAUGAAGGAGUCGGGUUACUGAAUAAGAGUCGCGAGAGGACUAACAGUCACGAAUCUGAAAAACAGUAAAAAUGAGACUGUCAGUCUCGAGAGUGAGUUAAAAUCAUAUACCUAUAACAGUUUCAAAUAUCUCAAUGUCACCUUAUUAAAUUUUAAAAUAAUUAAUAAAUCACGCGAACCAUACGUGUCAUGUUAAAACAUAUGUGUCAUGCCAUGCUUAAACAAAAUUUAUUCCACAUGCAACGGGACGGAGUACUUCAGUAGAACUCUAAUCCCAACUCUAAAAUCUUGAUUAUUUCAACACUUAUAUCUCAACUAACCUCAACUCUAUCAUCUCAAACCUCUCAUUCCAACAGGACUGGCGCCCAGAGAGCAAAGCUCGACCAGGGACCUUACCUCCAGUCCGGUCACUUAACUCUCAGCCUUAGCCUUUCGGCUCUCUUAUCCAAUAAGACUGGCGCCCAGAGAGCAUAGCUCGACCAGGGACCUUACCUCCAGUCUGUUCACUUAAAUUUCCAAAUAAGCCGGCGCCCAGAGAGCAAUGCUCGACCAGGGACUUUUACUCCGGCAACCACACUCUACUAAGCCCAGAGAGCGAUGCUCGACCAGGGCAGGUCCUAAUCUUUCUUUCUUAAAUUUUUUACCUCUUUACCCUUUCCCUAUCUCUCUCAGAUUAUAUUGGGACACUCAUCCAACUCCUAUGUUCUACUGCCGUCCCAUCCUGAGUCAUCAUGCAAUAUUAAAAUUGGUAAUAAAGGAAAAACAUAUUUAAAUAGUAAUUAAAAGCAUCAUGCAAAUGAUAAUAAUAAUAAUUAAAUGAAAAAUUGAAAUUGCAAAUAAAUAUUCACAGUAGCAAAUCAAAUUUUAUGCAUGACACGUGCGUAAGCGAUAUAUGACUUUAACUCACAGGUUUGGCGACCUCCUAGCUCUGCUCCGGUGCCUCGGUUGGAGCGAGCCGAACAAACGGACAAUCUAGUCACGGAAACAAUUUAUCAAAACGCUGAAACAAUCGAUCUUUAAUCCUAGGUUUAGACUCCUAGGACUAACUGUCUAAGAAUCUCGACUCAGGAGAAUUCUACUGAAAAUCCGGCAGAACCUCCUCUACAACACGAACAUUACCCCCCGUAAAAACGGGUCCAGGACCUUCCAGAAGAACACUUCCAAUAUCCAACAAUUUAAACAACGGGAGUCGGGUCCCCAAACUUCACUAUCUCCCGACUCCGCCACACAGCACAAAACACAAGGCAGGCAACUGACAGACAAUUAUUUUUGACUCACAAUAACAUCAAAUACUCAAUAUAAACCAUUAGACACAAUUAAACCAAGAAUUCCAAAAUUAACGGGCCAAAGAUAAUUACCGAGACGCUCGAUCGCUCAGUCGACUCGCCUCCGGCCGCCGGAGUCCGAUCGACGAUCCGAACACACCAUUGGACUCACAACGACGCGCUGAUGACGAUCCCCGCUUCUGAUUUUCGGAUCUGACACUCGAUCGUCCGGAGAGAUUUACGGACGAUCACGGCCGUCGAUUUGCAAACAGAGCCCGAUCGCCACCAAACCGGUGCCAUUUCGAAGCUUGAGAUGAGGAGAGUCGGGAUAUGCCCUCCGAUUGUCCAUCCUCCGCCGGAGCUCGCCGAAAAAAUCCAAAAACCUCGGCUGCCUCCACUUCGCCGGAACUCUCUCCUCCGGCCACCAAAACCGACGCCGCUGCCGCCAAAAGGAAGCUCUCUCCAAAGGGAGUUGAUCGCCACCAAGAUCGGCCGGAAACGGCCGGAACGGCCUUCGAAAGCCGCUACCACACGCGCGAUUCCCGCCGCCUCACGCUACCGCUGGAGCCGCUGCGCUCGCCAGCGCACGCCGCUCCGCGCCCCCGGAGCUCGCCACCGACGCCUGCAGCGUCCCUCUCUCUCUCUCCCGGCGCCGCACUCUCUCUCUCUCUCUCUCUACUUUCUCUCUCCCCGAUUCCAUUUCUUUCAAUAUCGACAUUAGGCCCCCGAACUUUUCCUUAUUACAACUUGGUCCCUCAACUUUCUUAAUUACUUACAAUUUCAUCCCGCAGAAUUUCAAUUUGACCCCCAAACUUCUUUUUAGCCUUUCAAUUAAGCCCCUAACUAUUUAAUUUGGGCCAAAACCGAAUUAUUGAAAAUACACAAUUACAAAAAUACCCCUGAUCGACAUAUUUAUUUACAAAAAUACCAAGCUCACAAAUUUCCAUUUAAACCCCAUAAAAAUAACAUUAUACUUUCAAUCCUUAUUCCAAAAUAAAUUUUCAAUUUAUUCCUAAUACACAAUUAAAUUAAAUAAUCAAAUUCCAACUUAAAAUUUAAUACUACUAAUCAAUUAUAAUACCAAUUUUCUCAAAAUUCUUUUAUUAAAACAUCCUUUAUAAUUUCUUUCAAAAUUUUCCAAUAUAUAAUUUUACUUAUAUAAAUAUGCAUUUGGAAAAAAAAAUUUGAAUAACCAAAAUAUAAUCAUUUCUCAAAUAAUUUACUUGAAUAAUUUCUUAAAAUUUCAAACUAAUUGAGUAUAGAAAAUAACUCAUUUAUUUGAUUAACAUUAAAUUUUUCAUUAAAUCAUUUCAAAUUAAACCCAAUAAUAAUAAAGCUAAAAUUAACUUAAAUAAAAACUCAUUAUUAAAUAUAUAAAAAUUCCGGGUGUUACAUUCUCCCCCCUUAAAAAAAAAAUUCGACCUCGAAUUUUAAAAGAAAAGGGGCUACACUCUAAGACUGAAACUAAUUAGGAACCUCUCAUCUCCAUUCGGCUUCUAGAGAACUUUCCUCGGCAGAAAUAAACUAAACCACAAGACUCAUCGACAAAACCCUUAAAUAAAACUGGCGAACCUGAAAAUCCGCGAUCCUCACUUACUACUCCUCGGAAACCAAAUCUUCACUUGCUUCCACACAAUAAGGGUCCAACACGAGCAAAGAUCGAAAAUACACUUCCUCAGCUCAAACUUACGAACAACUGGAUUUGACCUCAGAGAACAUUACUUGGCGGCAAGUCCAACUUACAUUCCACCUCACCAACCUGCCGACAAAACCAAGGGUUUCCACACAAGAAGGGCCAAUUCUGAUCCUGCCAAAAAUCCACUCAUCAAAUUUUCUUCCUAAUGACGUGUCCCUUACACACGCAGAAAAUUCUUAACAUCCACAUCACAUCAUCCUCGACAUAACAUCCAUCUGAUCGCAUCAACCGACACAACCCAUGCCAUCCUGACACAAGAUUCCUCCUUGACUAAAAUCCAAAAGCCUCCCUUAUAAUCUAACAUGGGGCCUACAGCUCCACAUACUCACUCUCUCAACAACUCAACUCGUCAUCCAGAGAAUUCUCAAGCUAACACUAUUUACUUUGAAAAAUUUACUUAUUUAUUUACUUUAUAAUCAUCACUAAUAAAAGCUUUAUUAUCUUGGAAAAAUACUUUUAUAAAAUCGUAAAACCUUUAGCCAUUUCUUUAUAUAAAAUUUUACAAUAUCGCGCGUCAGGGUGAUGAUGCCCCUAUCACCAAGGGUUGCAAUGCACAAUGUAUGAUGCAUGUCCUAAAAUGAAUUUAUGCAUGCCUAACAGUGAAAUGCCAUAAUGCAUUCUUACAGGACUGGGCGCAACAUUGUAUUUUAAAACACUUGUUCUACUUAGAAAAAUAGAUAAUGUUCGCUUAAGUUUCUCUGGAUUCUGAGCGUCCGAAAACACUCCUGCCACCUUUCUUAAGCUUCUUACAACCACAAAACUCAACCAUAAUAGCUGACAUCCGCUCGACUUCCCAGGCACUAACUUCGGCGCUACUCAAUAAGGCGAUGCCUGAUGCGUUGACGAGGCAGUCCAUGACACGACUGCAACCACGCUCUACACUAAAACUGAUUGCGGUGCCCACCAUCGAAACCACGAUCAAAGCUUCUAAAGGCGGACUGCACUAAUCACUUGAAGAAACAGCACGAGUCUAUCGUGCUUCGGAUCUUCCCAUCACUACAAGGCACAUUCUCAGCACAGCACCAAGGACAAGCUUACAAGAAAGGAAAGACUGACUCUCUAACAGUGAAGGCUGAGACACUAGAGUCAAUGAAAACAACAAGAAAGACAUGAUCCUAACUCCGCAGUACCAAGAAAAAUCUUAACUUAGGUAGAAGGAAAUCUAAACCUAAGAUCUGAUACCAACUUUGUCACGACCCCACCCGUGGGCCCGUGACCGGCACUAGGGAAUGGGUAGGCUUAAGGCCACCGAAACCCGUAGUAAGCCUGACACUCAUUGAUUUAAACAAAUCUCAUCUCAACUUAAUAUUAAUAAAGCCACAAAUUAUCUUAAAUGCUACAUUUUACAUAAUUUAAUCGGUCUGCCAUAAGAACUAGGCGAGACCUGAAACUCAGAAAAUUUACAACUGAUACAUCUACUGUUACUACUGCGGAAAAUCUAAGAUUUACCAAUUUACAUACCAAAUCAAAUACAUCACCCGAUGAUGAAGGAGUCGGGUUACUGAAUAAGAGUCGCGAGAGGACUAACAGUCACGAAUAUGAAAAACAGUAAAAAUGAGACUGUCAGUCUCGAGAAUGAGUUAAAAUCAUAUAUCUAUAACAGUUUCAAAUAUCUCAAUGUCACCUUAUUAAAUUUUAAAAUAAUUAAUAAAUCACGCGAACCAUACGUGUCAUGUUAAAACAUAUGUGUCAUGCCAUGCUUAAACAAAAUUUAUUCUACAUGCAACGGGACGGAGUACUUCAGUAGAACUCUAAUCCCAACUCUAAAAUCUUGAUUAUUUCAACACUUAUGUCUCAACUAACCUCAACUCUAUCAUCUCAAACCUCUCAUUCCAACAGGACUGGCGCCUAGAGAGCAAAGCUCGACCAGGGACCUUACCUCUAGUCCGGUCACUUAACUCUCAGCCUUAGCCUUUCGGCUAUCUUAUCCAAUAAGACUGGCGCCCAGAGAGCAUAGCUCGACCAGGGACCUUACCUCCAGUCUGGUCACUUAAAUUUCCAAAUAAGCCGGCGCCCAGAGAGCAAUGCUNNNNNNNNNNNNNNNNNNNNNNNNNNNNNNNNNNNNNNNNNNNNNNNNNNNNNNNNNNNNNNNNNNNNNNNNNNNNNNNNNNNNNNNNNNNNNNNNNNNNNNNNNNNNNNNNNNNNNNNNNNNNNNNNNNNNNNNNNNNNNNNNNNNNNNNNNNNNNNNNNNNNNNNNNNNNNNNNNNNNNNNNNNNNNNNNNNNNNNNNNNNNNNNNNNNNNNNNNNNNNNNNNNNGCAUCAUGCAAAUGAUAAUAAUAAUAAUUAAAUGAAAAAUUGAAAUUGCAAAUAAAUAUUCACAGUAGCAAAUCAAAUUUUAUGCAUGACACGUGCGUAAGCGAUAUAUGACUUUAACUCACAGGUUUGGCGACCUCCUAGCUCUGCUCCGGUGCCUCGGUUGGAGCGAGCCGAACAAACGGACAAUCUAGUCACGGAAAACAAUUUAUCAAAACGCUGAAACAAUCGAUCUUUAAUCCUAGGUCUAGACUCCUAGGACUGACUGUCUAAGAAUCUCGACUCAGGAGAAUUCUACUGAAAAUCUGGCAGAACCUCCUCUACAACACGAACAUUACCCCCCGUAAAAACGGGUCCAGGACCUGCCAGAAGAACACUUCUAAUAUCCAACAAUUUAAUCAACGGGAGUCGGGUCCCCAAACUUCACUAUCUCUCGACUCCGCCACACAGCACAAAACACAAGGCAGGCAACUGACAGACAAUUAUUUUUGACUCACAAUAACAUCAAAUACUCAAUAUAAACCAUUAGACACAAUUAAACCAAGAAUUCCAAAAUUAACGGGCCAAAGAUAAUUACCGAGAAGCUCGAUCGCUCGGUCGACUCGCCUCCGGCCGCCGGAGUCCGAUCGACGAUCCGAACAUACCAUUGGACUCACAACGACGCGCUGAUGACGAUCCCUGCUUCUGAUUUUCCGAUCUGACACUCGAUCGUCCGGAGAGAUUUACGGACGAUCACGGCCGUCGAUUUGCAAACGGAGCCCGAUCGCCACCAAACUGGUGCCAUUUCGAAGCUUGAGAUGAGGAGAGUCGGGAUAUGCCCUCCGAUCGUCCAUCCUCCGCCGGAGCUCGCCGGAAAAACCCAAAAACCUCGGCUGCCUCCACUUCGCCGGAACUCUCUCCUCCGGCCACCAAAACCGACGCCGAUGCCGCCAAAAGGAAGCUCUCUCCAAGGGGAGCUGAUCGCCACCAAGAUCGGCCGGAAAGGCCGCCGGAAACGGCCGGAACGGCCUUCGAAAGCCGCUGCCACACGCGCGAUUCCCGCCGCCUCACGCUACUGCUGGAGCCGCUGCGCUCGCCAGCGCAUGCCGCUCCGCGCCCCCGGAGCUCGCCACCGACGCCUGCAGCGUCCCUCUCUCUCUCUCCCGGCGCCGCACUCUCUCUCUCUCUCUCUACUUUCUCUCUCCCCGAUUCCAUUUCUUUCAAUAUCGACAUUAGGCCCCCGAACUUUUCCUUAUUACAACUUGGUCCCUCAAUUUUCUUAAUUACUUACAAUUUCAUCCCGCAGAAUUCCAAUUUGACCCCCAAACUUCUUUUUAGCCUUUCAAUUAAGCCCCUAACUAUUUAAUUUGGGCCAAAACCGAAUUAUUGAAAAUACAUAAUUACAAAAAUACCCCUGACUGACAUAUUUAUUUACAAAAAUACCAAGCUCACAAAUUUCCAUUAAAACCCCAUAAAAAUAACAUUAUACUUUCAAUCCUUAUUCCAAAAUAAAUUUCCAAUUUAGUCCUAACACACAAUUAAAUUAAAUAAUCAAAUUCCAACUUAAAAUUUAAUACUACUAAUCAAUUAUAAUACCAAUUUUCUCCAAAUUCUUUUAUUAAAACAUCCUUUAUAAUUUCUUCCAAAAUUUUCCAAUAUAUAAUUUUACUUAUAUAAAUAUGCAUUUGGAAAAAAAAAAUUGAAUAACCAAAAUAUAAUCAUUUCUCAAAUAAUUUACUUGAAUAAUUACUUAAAAUUUCAAACUAAUUGGGUAUAGAAAAUAACUCAUUUAUUUGAUUAAUAUUAAAUUUUUCAUUAAAUCAUUUCAAAUUAAACCCAAUAAUAAUGAAGCUAAAAUUAACUUAAAUAAAAAUUCAUUAUUAAAUAUAUAAAAAUUCCGGGUGUUACAAUUAAGUGACCAAAAAUAUAAUUUAUUUUUUCAAGGAAUUUACUUAAUUAAUUUCUUAAAAAUCAAACUAAUUAGAUAUAGAAAAUAAUUCUCUUAUUUUUAUCUAGCAUUGAAAUUCUAUUUUAAAUUAUCAUAAUUCAAUUACUCAAGAUAAAACUAAAUUAAAUUAAAUAAAAACUCGUUAUUAAUUAUUACUAAUAUUAUUAUUAUUAAGAGAAAAUUUCGAGUAUUACACCAUCACUUGGCUUUCAGCAAUUCAAGUAAUCCUACAUAGACGCACUGAUGUGAGUUGUUGUACCAGAAUCUAUCCAUCAUGUAUGUCUAGUAACCGUAGUUAAAUUAACCUCUGAACAAACCAAAUUAAGAAGCAUGCCUUUCUUAGCACAUCAUGCGUGAUAAUUUGUGCAUUACUUCUUGUACCUUUCAGCUCCAUAAAAGAAACAACUAGUAUCUUCUAGUUUAUCCGAUUUCUUUUGUUGUUUCUUUUGAGAAGUUGUAUUUGCAGCUUCUUUAUCUUUUUUUCUUUUCUUAGUUUAGGGAUAUAAAUAUUCCAUCCAAACAAUAUUUAUGGUUGAUCAACAAUCUCCAACUGUGUUAAAUUUAUUACUUAACAUUUUCACAUCUCUUUGAUUAUUUUAUGUGUAUUUAAACCUUAUAAAGGUUAUUUUAAAGCUUUAAUGCACUUGUAAGGUCUGAGUGAAAGCGUAGAUACUUUGAUUAUUUUAUGUGUAUUUAAACCUUAUAAAGGUUAUUUUAAAGCUUUAAUGCACUUGUAAGGUCUGAGUGUUAGCGUAGACACUUAGAUUGGGUUUGAGAGUUAGCCUUUAGAAUAAACUCUUGUAAAGUUAUAUGUAAGCCUUAAACACAAGUGUAAAAUCUGGUGUGAGCCUUAAACAUUAAGUUGGGAGGGAGCUUGGGUAAAACUCCAUCGUAUUAUGUGUUGUGUUUUUGAAACACCUACUUGGGUAUUAGGAAAUAGAUGUAGGGUUUAUUAAUAUGCUAAUCACUAUAAUUCUUAUGUUCUUUCUUUUUUACUUGAUUUUAAUUUGUCAUCAUUCUUCCACGAUUCAACCUUUUUUUUGGUUCAUAAAACAAACACAAAUUAAAUCUAUUAUAUGAAAUAAAAAUUUAAAAUUAAAAUAUAUUAAAAUUAAAUAAUAAAAUUAAAGGAAAAUAGAAUGCCAUCGACAUAAUCAACCAUAACAACAUAAUCAACCAUAACAAUAUAAAAUAGAAACCACCACUGAGGACCACCAUGCAACCACUAUCUAGUAGCUAACCNNNNNNNNNNNNNNNNNNNNNNNNNNNNNNNNNNNNNNNNNNNNNNNNNNNNNNNNNNNNNNNNNNNNNNNNNNNNNNNNNNNNNNNNNNNNNNNNNNNNNNNNNNNNNNNNNNNNNNNNNNNNNNNNNNNNNNNNNNNNNNNNNNNNNNNNNNNNNNNNNNNNNNNNACUAUCUAGUAGCUAACCUAAACCACCACUACUACUAUCUAUAGAUCUAUAUAAACUUUAUCUUUUUCUGUCCUUAUUUUAUUUUUAAAGCAUUUUUAAUAUUAUAGUAAAUUUUAAUUUUAACUUUUAUAAAGAAAUAAUUUUUAUUUUUUCCUUUCAUUUUUAAAACUAUAUUAUUUUCUAAUUAAUACUAAUAUAAUUAUUUUCGUCUCUUUCAUUAAUUAUAUAUGUUAUUACUAACCCUUAAUUUUUAUAUUUUGCUGAUUUUAUGUCUCAUAAUCUUCUUUGAGCUAAUUUUGUAUCUCAUAAUCACUUUUUUGAUAAUUGAAAAGUCAUUAUUUAUCUACACAACCAUUCUAAUAUAAAUCACCAUUUUGUCAUUCAUAUACUCUAUAUUUUCUAUCUUUAUCUUCAUUUCCAAUUUUAUCUUUAUUUGUAUCUUUAAAUAAAAUUAAAAAGUAAAUGAUGAAAGACAAUGCAUGAAAUAUAUCUUUUGAAAUAGCAUUGCGGUAAUUUGUAACCUUAUUUUUAAGAACUCUCAAAAUGUAUGUUAAAAAAAAAUUAUUUUAAUUCGUUAAGAAGUUUCAUAAUUAUGUACUAUUCAGGUUAGUAUUUUUUUUUUUUGCUUCAUUAUAUUAAAAAAUUAAUUUAAUAAUUUAGUUUAUAAAUUUAUAUAUCAAUGUAGAAUAUCCUUUUUUGUAUAUGAUAUAUGAAAGUAAGGUUUUAUCCCUUGCUUUCUCUCUCAUCACUUGAAAUUUUUUAUGAAUUUUACAGCAUUUUUCUGAAUUAUAGUGAGUUUUUAGUUUUAACUUUUAUGAAAAAAAUAAUUUUUUUCUUUUUCUUUCAUCUUUAAAACCAUAUUAAUUGCCAGUUAAUAUUAAUUUAGUUAUAUUCAUCUCCUCAAAUAAUUAUAUAUGUUAUUAAUAAUCUUUAAUCUUCAUAUUGUGCUAAUUUUGUGUCUCAUGAUCUUUCUUGGGUUAAUAUUAUGUAUCAUGAUCUCCGUUUGGAUAAUUUAAAAUUUAGUAUUUAUUACUACAUCCAUUUUAAUAUAAAUCAUCAUUUUGUUAUUCAUAUAUUUUAUAUUUUUAUCUCCAUCUUCAUCUUCAUUUCCAAUUUUAUCUUUAUUUGCAUCUUAAAAUAAAAUUAAAAGACAAUUAAUUAAGGAGAAUGAAAGAAAUAUAACUUUUAGAAUAGCAUUAUUGUAAUUUGUAACUUUAUUGUUAAAAACUCUCAAAAAGUAUGUUCAAAAAAAUUAAUUUAAUUCAUUAAGAAGUUUCAUGAUUAUGUACUAUUCAAGUUAGUAAUUUUUUUUUUGUUAUUUUUGCUUGAUUAUAUUAAAAGCUUAAUUUAAUAUUUUUAUUUAUAAAUUUUAUAUAUCAAUGUAAAUAUCCUUUGUAUCUCAUAGAAACUAAUUAAUUAUAUGGUUUAAUAGUCUCAUUAUUAAAUUUUUAUUUUUAUUUUUCUAUUAUUUAAAAUUUUGAAUUGUAUUAUUUUAAGUCAAAUCUCUUAUUUUUUUUAUAUUAUUUAAAUUUAAUUGUUUAUAUAUAUAAAAUUUAUAGUUAAAAUUAAUAAUAAUUCAUAUGUACCAAAGGAAGGUAAAAAUGGUUGUCAUUUUAUAUGUUUUGUAACUAUGCUAUUUUAAAUUUUUUAUUCUACUAUUCAUUUAUAUUUUUUUUCUCUUUAAUAGUAAGUUAUCUCUAAUUACAAUAAUAGAUUAAAUUAAGUAUAAAGUAUAAUAAUUGAUCUUUAUAUGAAUUUUUAUAUAACGAUUCACUUUAUGGACGGGCACAAAAACUAGUUUCAUACUAUUAUGACCACCAUUAAGAAAUUAUUUUCUAAUAAUAUUACGUACAAAAUCAUAGAAAAACAUUCCAUAGUCUCACCACCCAAGAAAAAUCACAAAAUAAUUCUCAACCAAACAAAUCAAAAUCAAAUCAANNNNNNNNNNNNNNNNNNNNNNNNNNNNNNNNNNNNNNNNNNNNNNNNNNNNNNNNNNNNNNNNNNNNNNNNNNNNNNNNNNNNNNNNNNNNNNNNNNNNNNNNNNNNNNNNNNNNNNNNNNNNNNNNNNNNNNNNNNNNNNNNNNNNNNNNNNNNNNNNNNNNNNNNNNNNNNNNNNNNNNNNNNNNNNNNNNNNNNNNNNNNNNNNNNNNNNNNNNNNNNNNNNNNNNNNNNNNNNNNNNNNNNAGAAAACUAGAAAUAAAGAGUGGUGGCAUAAUGGUGUUGCCUUAUCUCACUUGUUGUUCACAAUGUCAUAUAGUGGCAUCCAAAAUAGAUUAUGUAUCCGCGUUAGACACAUUUUAGACACUAGAAUUUUUUUAAAACCUUUUUCAGAUAUAUUUUAGAAAUUUUAAAAAAUAUUUUUUAUUAAUUUUUAUAUUUAUUUUUAAGAAUUUUUAAGAACCUUUCAAAGAAAUUAUUUUUAUUUAAUUGGAUUUCUCACUUGAGAAAAAUUCUUAAUUUUUUUUCAAUUUAUAGAUGAUUUCAAUUUUUUACUAUUUUAUAAUUUUUUAUUAUAUUAAUAUUUUUAAUUUUUAGUUAUUUUAUAUUAAAAAGUUUAUAUAUAUAUAUAUAUAUAUAUAUAUAUAUAUAUAUAUAUAUAUAUAUUAUCUAUAGUCAAUAACUAUAUUUAAAAAUCUAGUAAAUAUUAGUCAAUAAUUUAAUAAACAAAUCACACAAUAUAAGAUUUAUUAUUUGUCAACAAUGACUAAUUUAUUAAUUUUAUUUUUAUGAUAAUAAAGAUAAUAAUACUAUAAAAAAUUUAAAAUAAUCUUUUAUUAUUUUUAUAUUUUAGUUUUUACACUUGUUUAAGUUUUAUCUAAAAAUAUUCCACACUUUUAAUGUUUUUCUUACAUUUUAUUUUUUAAAUUUUUUAAAAUUUCAUAUUUUUAUAUCUUUGGAUCUCUGCAUGUCGCAUUGCAUGUUGUUGCUUCCCACAUUUAUUUCAUCCAACCUUAAUGAUAGCAUAAUGGGAAUGGGAGCAGUGGCAUUACAACUGAUAACGUAUCAAUCCAAUUUGGUUAUUUAUAAAUUAUCACUACUAUUAAAUUUUAGUUUUUUUUUUAAAUUUAAAAUAUCAGUAAUGCAUUAAAUAUAAAUGGCAUCAUAUACUGAAUUGAACCAAUUUUUUCACUUUAGCACAAUUCAGUUCGAUGCUAUUUUCAAUUUUAAUAUUUAGAUAAAAUACAACAUUAAAUCUUACAUUUAAUCAAAUACAUUAAAAAAAUAUAAUUGACAUUCGAAUGAAACUAGUAUAAGAAUUGGAAUCAGAUAGAAUUGUAAUUAUAUUCUUGAACAAUUUUUUUUAUAAUUUAUCUACUUACAAAUAUAAUAAUUUAAUAUUUCAAUAUAAAUUAUUAAAAUAUAUGAUAUUGCUAGCAUAAUAACAUUUUACAGAUGACUAGUAUUAAAAUAAAUUUUAUAAAUUUUAUAUAGUAUUAUAAUAUAAAUUUAAUUUUAAAUAUAAAAAAUGGAGGCGGAAACAUACUCAGCCGUAAGUGGCAUAUGGUGAUAUAUGCUAUCUAUUGUUUGCAAUUUGCUUGUUUGACAUCCGACAUCGUUGAUCGCUCGCCAUCAUUGAGGGGCGCAAUGGUAAUUGCAAGCCAUACAAGGAUAAGAGUUUUGAUGCUAAUCUAUUAUUUUAAGUUUUAAGAAGAUUUAUUAUUUAGUUUUUGAUUGAUUGGUUUAACAUUUAUAUUUAAAAUAAGCAAAGAGAAACAUGUGUCAUCAUUCUUUAUUAAUUUAUAUAUUAAAUAGGUUCCACCACUAACAAAUAUUUAAUAGGUAAUUGUCACGACCCCAUCCAUGGGCCCGUGACGGGCAAUAGGGAAUGGGUAGGCUUAAGGCCACCGAAACCCGUAGUAAGCCUGACACUCACUGAUUUAAACAAAUCUCAUCUCAAAUUAAUAUUAUUAAAGCCACAAAUUAUUACUUUACAUAAAUACUUCGGUCUGCCAGAAAAACUAGGCGAGACCUAAAACUCAGAAAAUUUACAACUGAUACAUCUACUAAUUACUACUGCGGAGAAUCUAAGAUUUACCAAUUUACAUACCAAAUCAAAUACAUCACCCGAUGAUGAAGGAGUCGGGUUACUGAAUAAGAGUCGCGGGAGGACUAACAGUCAUGAAUAUGAAAAACAGUAAAAAUGAGACUGUCAGUCUCGAGAGUGAGUUGAAAUCAUAUAUCUAAAACAGUUUCAAACAUUUCAAUAUCACAUUCAUUUAAUUUUAAAAAUAAUUAAUAAAUCACGCGAACCAUACGUGUCAUGUUAAGACAUAUGUGUCAUGCCAUACUUAAACAAAAAUUAUUCCAUAUGCAACGGGACGGAGUACUUCAGUAUAACCCUAAUCCCAACUCUAACAUCUCGAUUUAUUUCAACACUUAUGUCUCAACUAACCUCAACUCUAACAUCUCAAACCUCUCAUUCCAACAAGACUGGCGCCUAGAGAGCAAAGCUCGACCAGGGACCUUACCUCCAGUCCAGUCACUUAACUCUCAGCCUUAGCCUUUCGGCUUUCUUAUCCAAUAAGACUGGCGCCCAGAGAGCAUAGCUCGACCAGGGACCUUACCUCCAGUCUGGUCACUUAAAUUUCCAAAUAAGCCGGUGCCCAGAGAGCAAUGCUCGACCAGGGACCUUUACUCCGGCAACCACACUCUACUAAGCCCAGAGAGCGAUGCUCGACCAGGGCAGGUCCUAAUCUUUCUUUCUCAAAAUUUAUACCUCUUUACCCUUUUCCUAUCUCUAUCAUAUUAUAUUGGAACACUCAUCCAACUCCUAUGUUCUACUGCCGUCCCAUCCUGAGUCAUCAUACAAUAUUAAAAUUUGUGAUAAAGGAAAAACAUAUUUAUAUAGUAAUUAAAAGCAUCAUGAAAAUAAUGAUAAUAAUUAAAUGAAAAAUUAAAAUUGCAAAUGAAUAAUCACAGUAGCAAAUCAAAUUUUAUGCAUGACAUGUGCAUAAGCGAUAUAUGACUUUAACUCACAGAAUUGGGCGACCUCCUAGCUCUGCUCCGGUGCCUCAGUUGGAGCGAGCCGAACAGACAGAUCAUCUAAUCACGGAAAACAAUUUAUCAAAACGAUGAAACAAUUACAAUAGAUCCUAGGUCUAGAUUCCUAGGACUCACUGUCUAAGAAUCUCGACUCAGGAACUACCGAAAAUUCAGCAGAACCUCCCCUACAACACGAACAUUACCCCCCGUAAAAACGGGUCCAGGACCUGCUAGAAAAACACUCCAAAUGUCCAACACUUUAAACAAUGGGAGUCGGGUCCCUAAACUUCACUAUUUCCCCACUCCGCCACACAGCACAAAAACACGACUAUGGCAGGCAAACUGACAAACAAUUAUUUAUGACUCACAAAUAUCAUCAAAUACUCAAUAUAACCCAAUAAACACAAAUUUAAAAUCAAAGGAUUUCUAAGAUCAACGGCCAGAGAAAAUUACCGAGACGCUCGAUCGCUCGGUCGACUAGCCUCCGGCCGCCGGAGUCCGAUCGACGAUCCGAACACACCAUCGGACUCACAACGACGCGCUGAUGACGAUCCCCGCUUUCGAUUUUUCGAUCUGACACCCGAUCAUCCUGAGAGAUUUGCGGACGAUCUCGACCGUCGAUUCGCAAACGAAGCCCGAUCGCCACGAAACCAGUGCCAUCGAGAAGCUUGAGCUGAGGAGAGUCGGGAUACGUCCUUCGAUCGUCCAUCCUCCGCCGGAGCUCGCCGGAAAAACCAGAAAACACGGCUGCCACCACUUCGCCAGAACUCUCUCCUCCGGCCACCAAAACCGACGCCGCUGCCGCCAAAAGGAAGCUCUCUCCAAGGGGAGCUGAUUGCCACCAAGAUCGGCCGGAAAGGCCGCCGGAAACGGCCGGAACGACGCUCGGAAGCCGCUGCCACACGUCGCGCGAUUCCGCCGCCUGCCGACGCUGCCAGCUGCCUCCACCGCCACCAUCGUGCUCGCCGUUGCCGCCCGCUCCUUCCAACGUCAACACCGCCCUCGGCCUGGCCUCCAGCGUCCGUCCCCCAUGGACGCCGACGGCUCUCUCUCUCCUCCCUUUCUUCUUCU
rnacentral:lncRNA from 1 species